rnacentral:rRNA from 1 species
AGUGAACGCUGGCGGUAGGCCUAACACAUGCAAGUCGAACGGCAGCACAGUAAGGGCUUGCUCUUACGGGUGGCGAGUGGCGGACGGGUGAGGAAUACAUCGGAAUCUACUUUUUCGUGGGGGAUAACGUAGGGAAACUUACGCUAAUACCGCAUACGACCUACGGGUGAAAGCAGGGGAUCUUCGGACCUUGCGCGAUUGAAUGAGCCGAUGCCGGAUUAGCUAGUUGGCGGGGUAAAGGCCCACCAAGGCGACGAUCCGUAGCUGGUCUGAGAGGAUGAUCAGCCACACUGGAACUGAGACACGGUCCAGACUCCUACGGGAGGCAGCAGUGGGGAAUAUUGGACAAUGGGCGCAAGCCUGAUCCAGCCAUACCGCGUGGGUGAAGAAGGCCUUCGGGUUGUAAAGCCCUUUUGUUGGGAAAGAAAAGCAGCAGGUUAAUACCCCGCUGUUCUGACGGUACCCAAAGAAUAAGCACCGGCUAACUUCGUG